UGGCUGCCAAAUUUAUACCUGUUUCUUCA
rnacentral:piRNA from 1 species